rnacentral:rRNA from 1 species
AUUGAACGCUGGCGGCAGGCCUAACACAUGCAAGUCGAACGGUAACAGGAAGCAGCUUGCUGCUUUGCUGACGCGUGUCGGACGGGUGAGUAAUGUCUGGGAAACUGCCUGAUGGAGGGGGAUAACUACUGGAAACGGUAGCUAAUACCGCAUAACGUCGCAAGACCAAAGAGGGGGACCUUCUGGCCUCUUGCCAUCGGAUGUGCCCAGAUGGGAUUAGCUAGUAGGUGGGGUAACGGCUCACCUAGGCGACGAUCCCUAGCUGGUCUGAGAGGAUGACCAGCCACACUGGAACUGAGACACGGUCCAGACUCCUACGGGAGGCAGCAGUGGGGAAUAUUGCACAAUGGGCGCAAGCCUGAUGCAGCCAUGCCGCGUGUAUGAAGAAGGCCUUCGGGUUGUAAAGUACUUUCAGCGGGGAGGAAGGGAGUAAAGUUAAUACCUUUGCGCAUUGACGUUACCCGAAGAAGAAGCACCGGCUAACUCCGUG